GCUGGCGUAGCUCAGUUGGCUAGAGCACCUCUUUCGUAAAGAGGGGGUCGUGGGUUCGAAUCCCACCUCCAGCU
rnacentral:tRNA from 3 species